UAUGCACCCAGAUUGAUCUAGAUGCAAUUGAAGCUACUAAAAAAAUUCCUGCAGCACCGGGUCUAGAAGAGGUUGUGAGGAUCGUGUUGCUAUCGUAAAAAGGUAUCACAUGCAAUGCCUUUUUGAGCCCGGCGAACAUAUAUACGACGAGGUCAUAAGUGCAUACGUAUUCUUAAUGAGGACACAAGAGCAUAUGUUAAAGAGGUCCGGGGGUUCGACUUACUUAGAAGAUCCGCUUGUAAGAGUGUUCCUCAAGCGGGAUGGUGAUGAAGAACAAACAAUGGAGAAUCAUUAUCCUAAUUAUGAGAAACGUGAGAAAACUUCUUUGGAUGAAAGGGUGUUAACCUACUUGAAGCGUGAAAUGGUGUCUAUUCCACUAAAUAUCAAUCAAGUCCACUGGUAUCUUGCCGUGGUCAAUGCCAAAAAGCAUCAGAUACAGGUACUCGAUUCGCUGGGUACAAUGUUGGGUCGCAAGGAGCUUGAGCUUACUGUGAGUGAUUGCUGCCAUCUAGCUACGCGGUUUAAAGUUGUUAAUGCAUAGCCUUGUGGUAAGAUUAGUAAAUUUGAUCCAUACUAAUAUAUUGGUUAUUUAUGAAUUUAGAUUUUCGGAUUGGAGAGAGAAAUAAACUUUGUUUUACGCCGCUUUAAUCUAGAAGAGGUAGAAUAUCGUAAAUGGCCAGAUGUCAAAGUUACUACUUGGCGGGUUAAAGAGAUCAUACGAAACAAACCACAAACAGAUGGAUGUUCAUGUGGGUUAUUCUUGAUUAACUACAUGGAAUAUUGGACUGGUGAUGCUCUGUCCGACAAUGUGAAUCAGGAUGAUAUGACAGAGUUUAGACCAAAACUCGCUGCUAUCCUGUUGUUAUCAGAAGCAAACAUCAGGAAAGGAUGCCCAUAUUUAGCAAUUGAUGUUGUUGGGAGUCCAAACGAUGUUGUGGAGAUUGAAAAUCCCAUGACUAUAGAUGAUACCCCAGCUAAAACUACCCAGUGUGGACAGAGUGAAGAAAAAGCCACACACACUCGAUUGGAUGACUGCAUGCUAUCUCAAGGCAAACGUACGCAAGAUAUGCCAAUGACCAGGACAAGGAUGAAUACAUAUUCCCUGAUUUCUAUGCUAGAUAUGCCAAUGAGCAGAGAAGAAUUGGCAGAAAUUUUAUGUGAUUAUAUAAUGUCAAUUGAAGAUGUUGGGACCUUGCAGAAAACUUGGGUGCGAAGCUUCAAACCCUACAAGAUGGCAUUAACUGUCAAGGAACUUCAGAUGUCAUUGAGGAAUGAUCAACCAAUGUCCACAAGUAGCUUCAAUAUGGGUGUGCGUAUCCUUGGAUACAACGAGUACAAAGCGUUGCAAUAUUCCAAGUCUGUCAUGCCAACUCAUUUUAUGGACCUCCGGUUCUGUAAAUUGUGUGAUGUUGAGCGGGAUAUAAAGUAUCGUAAAAAUCCAAAUGCUGAAAGUCUGGCAGAAGCAAUUGGUAGAGUUACAUGGCUGGACUACGACAUGACAUGCUGCCGAUAUUUUCUUAUGCCAUGGGUAAAAUCUACAAAUUUUAUGCUAUUUGUGCUUGACCAUAAGGAUAAAAAAUUUACUUGGAUUGACCCGACCUCAACUCCAGAAUGGUGAAAAGAUAUGCCAUACAAGAAGUAUGUGCGCGCAAUUCUAGAUAUGGGUAUAAAGUAUAUGAGUGCUAUGAGAGUAUAUGACCAAAAAUGGAGCCAAAACAUUUUCACGUGGAAAGCUAAAAGUGCAGAUGGUAUUGUCGAGGAUAAAGUCGGGUGUUUAACUGGCUACAUAGUUCUGCAAUAUAUGGCUGCCUGGAAGCAUGUGAGGACUACACCAAUAUGUGUGGAUGGACAAGCACUGAGGAGGAAUUUUGUGAUUGACACGUUGGCGUUCGAUGGAAACUCAUAUCGGAAAAUACUGCCUGAUUGUGUUAAGAAGUGCCUAAGCCGCAUCACAGGAAAAGACAUUUGAAUUAGAUAUAUGAGAUAAAUUAUUCAAACUAUGUUUAUGAGAAUAUGGAUGCUGUGACUUUGUCUAGAUGAAUUCUUAAUCUAUUAUGGAUAUUUUGAUUUCAUCGAAUGCAAUAUUUUUUGGACGUGUA